rnacentral:tRNA from 1 species
AAUAGAAUGGCUGAAAAUUUAAGCGAUAAAUUGUAAAUUUAUUAAUGAUAAAAAUCUUCUAUUA